rnacentral:rRNA from 1 species
UACGUAGGGGGCUAGCGUUGUCCGGAAUCAUUGGGCGUAAAGAGCGUGUAGGCGGUCCGGUAAGUCCGUUGUGAAAGUCAGGGGCUCAACCCUUGAAUGCCGGCGGAUACUGUCGGGCUAGAGUCCGGAAGAGGCGAGUGGAAUUCCCGGUGUAGCGGUGAAAUGCGUAGGUAUCUGGAGGAACACCGGUGGCGAAGGCGGCAUCCUGGACCAAUACUGACACUGAGGAGCGAAAGCCAGGGGAGCAAACGGG